UACGUAGGGUGCGAGCGUUGUCCGGAAUUAUUGGGCGUAAAGGGCUCGUAGGCGGUUUGUCGCGUCGGGAGUGAAAUCCACUGGCUUAACUGGUGGCUUGCUUUCGAUACGGGCAGACUGGAGGUAUGCAGGGGAGACUGGAAUUCCUGGUGUAGCGGUGAAAUGCGCAGAUAUCAGGAGGAACACCGGUGGCGAAAGGCGGGUCUCUGGGCCGAUACUGACGCUGAGGAGCGAAAGCGUGGGGAGCGAACAGG
rnacentral:rRNA from 1 species